ACGGAUAGUUUACAACAGUUUAUGAUGAGUUUAUUCAUUGGCACACAAGAUUGCAUGCCAGCGAGGGGAUCAAAUUCCUGCAAGUGUCAAGGUGCCUUUAGGUUUCUCAGAUAAGAU